GGAAAAAUUGUCAUAGAGUCAUACCAUUAUUUAAAGACACAUAUGCUAUAGUUUCAAUCAUCUCCUCUCAAUUCCAUAUUCCUAAAUAUAAGAGAAAUAGAAAGAGCAAGAAAACACCGCGCCAGUCCUUUUAUUUUCUUGGUGUCACUAGAGUCUUAAAACACUCUUUGUUCGAGUGACGUGGAGAACUUAAGGACUUUUGCGUUAGAGUAGUAAAGCGCCUAAGGUACUAAAAGUGAUGUGUGAAGUUGAUGUGUUGCUUAUGCGCGCGGGGAAAAUAAAAGGGGUUUUGUGCCAAUAAACAA